rnacentral:rRNA from 1 species
GGUCAAGUGAAGAAGCGCAUACGGUGGAUGCCUUGGCAGUCAGAGGCGAUGAAAGACGUGGUAGCCUGCGAAAAGCUUCGGGGAGUCGGCAAACAGGCUGUGAUCCGGAGAUGUCUGAAUGGGGGAACCCAGCCAUCAUAAGAUGGUUAUCACACACUGAAUACAUAGGUGUGUGAGGCGAACCAGGGAACUGAAACAUCUAAGUACCCUGAGGAAAAGAAAUCAACCGAGAUUCCCUUAGUAGUGGCGAGCGAACGGGGACUAGCCCUUAAGUUGAUUUGAGAUUAGCGGAACGCUCUGGAAAGUGCGGCCAUAGUGGGUGAUAGCCCUGUACGCGAAAAUCUCUUAUCAAUGAAAUCGAGUAGGACGGAGCACGAGAAACUUUGUCUGAAUAUGGGGGACCAUCCUCCAAGGCUAAAUACUACUGACUGACCGAUAGUGAACCAGUACCGUGAGGGAAAGGCAAAAGAACCCCGGAGAGGGGAGUGAAAUAGAACCUGAAACCGUAUGCGUACAAGCAGUGGGAGCCUACUUUGUUAGGUGACUGCGUACCUUUUGUAUAAUGGGUCAGCGACUUAUUUUCAGUGGCGAGCUUAACCGAAUAGGGGAGGCGUAGCGAAAGCGAGUCUUAAUAGGGCGUCUAGUCGCUGGGAAUAGACCCGAAACCGGGCGAUCUAUCCAUGGGCAGGUUGAAGGUUAGGUAACACUGACUGGAGGACCGAACCGACUACCGUUGAAAAGUUAGCGGAUGACCUGUGGAUCGGAGUGAAAGGCUAAUCAAGCUCGGAGAUAGCUGGUUCUCCUCGAAAGCUAUUUAGGUAGCGCCUCGUGUAUCACUGCUGGGGCAGAGCACUGUUUCGGCUAGGGGUCAUCCCGACUUACCAAACCGAUGCAAACUCCGAAUACCAGCAAGUGUCAGCACGGGAGACACACGGCGGGUGCUAACGUCCGUCGUGAAAAGGGAAACAACCCAGACCGUCAGCUAAGGUCCCAAAAUCCUGGUUAAGUGGGAAACGAUGUGGGAAGGCUUAGACAGCUAGGAGGUUGGCUUAGAAGCAGCCAUCCUUUAAAGAAAGCGUAAUAGCUCACUAGUCGAGUCGGCCUGCGCGGAAGAUGUAACGGGGCUCAAACCAGGUACCGAAGCUACGGGUUCAACGCAAGUUGAGCGGUAGAGGAGCGUUCUGUAAGCCUGUGAAGGUCAGUUGAGAAGCUGGCUGGAGGUAUCAGAAGUGCGAAUGCUGACAUGAGUAACGACAAUGCGAGUGAAAAACUCGCACGCCGAAAGACCAAGGGUUCCUGCGCAACGUUAAUCGACGCAGGGUGAGUCGGUCCCUAAGGCGAGGCUGAAGAGCGUAGUCGAUGGGAAACGGGUUAAUAUUCCCGUACUUCUAGUUACUGCGAUGGGGGGACGGAGAAGGCUAGGCCAGCAAGGCGUUGGUUGUCCUUGUUUAAGGUGGUAGGCAGAGAUCUUAGGUAAAUCCGGGGUCUUAAUGCCGAGAGCUGAUGACGAGCUUUCUUUUAGAAAGCGAAGUGGUUGAUGCCAUGCUUCCAGGAAAAGCCUCUAAGCUUCAGGUAACUAGGAACCGUACCCCAAACCGACACAGGUGGUUGGGUAGAGAAUACCAAGGCGCUUGAGAGACUCGGGUGAAGGAACUAGGCAAAAUGGCACCGUAACUUCGGGAGAAGGUGCGCCGGUGAGGGUGAAGUAUUUACUACGUAAGCCCAUGCCGGUCGAAGAUACCAGGCCGCUGCGACUGUUUAUUAAAAACACAGCACUCUGCAAACACGAAAGUGGACGUAUAGGGUGUGACGCCUGCCGGUGCCGGAAGGUUAAUUGAUGGGGUUAGCGCAAGCGAAGCUCUUGAUCGAAGCCCCGGUAAACGGCGGCCGUAACUAUAACGGUCCUAAGGUAGCGAAAUUCCUUGUCGGGUAAGUUCCGACCUGCACGAAUGGCGUAACGAUGGCGGCGCUGUCUCCACCCGAGACUCAGUGAAAUUGAAAUCGCUGUGAAGAUGCAGUGUAUCCGCGGCUAGACGGAAAGACCCCGUGAACCUUUACUAUAGCUUUGCACUGGACUUUGAAUUUGCUUGUGUAGGAUAGGUGGGAGGCUUUGAAGCGUGGACGCCAGUUCGCGUGGAGCCAUCCUUGAAAUACCACCCUGGCAACUUUGAGGUUCUAACUCUGGUCCGUUAUCCGGAUCGAGGACAGUGUAUGGUGGGUAGUUUGACUGGGCGGUCUCCUCCUAAAGAGUAACGGAGGAGUACGAAGGUGCGCUCAGACCGGUCGGAAAUCGGUCGUAGAGUAUAAAGGCAAAAGCGCGCUUGACUGCGAGACAGACACGUCGAGCAGGUACGAAAGUAGGUCUUAGUGAUCCGGUGGUUCUGUAUGGAAGGGCCAUCGCUCAACGGAUAAAAGGUACUCCGGGGAUAACAGGCUGAUACCGCCCAAGAGUUCAUAUCGACGGCGGUGUUUGGCACCUCGAUGUCGGCUCAUCACAUCCUGGGGCUGAAGCCGGUCCCAAGGGUAUGGCUGUUCGCCAUUUAAAGUGGUACGCGAGCUGGGUUUAGAACGUCGUGAGACAGUUCGGUCCCUAUCUGCCGUGGACGUUUGAGAUUUGAGAGGGGCUGCUCCUAGUACGAGAGGACCGGAGUGGACGAACCUCUGGUGUUCCGGUUGUCACGCCAGUGGCAUUGCCGGGUAGCUACGUUCGGAAGAGAUAACCGCUGAAAGCAUCUAAGCGGGAAACUUGCCUCAAGAUGAGAUCUCACUGGAGCCUUGAGCUCCCUGAAGGGCCGUCGAAGACUACGACGUUGAUAGGUGGGGUGUGUAAGCGCUGUGAGGCGUUGAGCUAACCCAUACUAAUUGCCCGUGAGGCUUGACCAU